AGAGUUUGAUCCUGGCUCAGAUUGAACGCUGGCGGCAGGCCUAACACAUGCAAGUCGAACGGUAACAGGAAGAAGCUUGCUUCUUUGCUGACGAGUGGCGGACGGGUGAGUAAUGUCUGGGAAACUGCCUGAUGGAGGGGGAUAACUACUGGAAACGGUAGCUAAUACCGCAUAACGUCGCAAGACCAAAGAGGGGGACCUUCGGGCCUCUUGCCAUCGGAUGUGCCCAGAUGGGAUUAGCUAGUAGGUGGGGUAAAGGCUCACCUAGGCGACGAUCCCUAGCUGGUCUGAGAGGAUGACCAGCCACACUGGAACUGAGACACGGUCCAGACUCCUACGGGAGGCAGCAGUGGGGAAUAUUGCACAAUGGGCGCAAGCCUGAUGCAGCCAUGCCGCGUGUAUGAAGAAGGCCUUCGGGUUGUAAAGUACUUUCAGCGGGGAGGAAGGGAGUAAAGUUAAUACCUUUGCUCAUUGACGUUACCCGCAGAAGAAGCACCGGC
rnacentral:rRNA from 1 species